rnacentral:sRNA from 1 species
CCCUACUCAACGAUGUUUUGUUUGUUUGUUUGUUUUUGUUUUUGUUUUGUCUUUUCAUAAUGCUACACGAGGUUGUAUGAAACGGCUGUGAGCCACGAAAGGAUAAUCAGAUAUAAAGGCCCACAGCGAAGGGUCUGCAUCAAAGACACGUGUCCCACCUACCUGGCGUUUCUAGAAUGGCUCAAGAAGGAUUAGAAGGCUGCUGUGAGGGAUAUGGAUUUGAACUCAGGACCUCCGGAAGAGCAGUCAGUGCUCGUAACCACUGAGCCAUCUCUCCAGCCGUGAAAGAGAGUUUCUUAUCAAUCAGUCCUGGCACUGGUAAAGGACAUGUAGCCCCAGGGAUAUGCAUGCAAAGAUCAGAUGAGCACACAGGGAGAAGAUGGCCAUCUGUGAGCCAAAGAGAGAGCUCAGAAGACGCCAACCCUGCCCUGCUGACCCCUCAACUCUCAGACUUCCGGUCUUCAAACCAUGAGGAGGAUCUCAUGCAUCCCCGGAUAGCCCCAAACUCGUAGCAAAGGAUGGCCUUGACUUUCUGAUCCUCCUGCCUCCACUCCCCAAGUUCUGGAAUUACAGGUGUGCUCUGCCAUCUCCCGUUUAUGGGGUGCACAGAUUGAACCUCGGCUUUGGGCAUGCCACACAGCACUUUGCCACCUAAGCUCCAGCUCCAGCAUAAAAAUCGAUUUUUACAGCAUUUAUAAAAAGAGCCAGGUCAUAGCCAAACAGGUUCCCAGUCUGAAGAGAAGCAUUCCUUACUGCUGACCUCCCCUGGGGAAACCCUCCAGACCUCCUCAGCUCCUCUGGACCAAGUUCCUUCAGGCUUCAUUCAAGUGUUGCCUUGCCUCUCCUUGGAGCCUGGUGGUCACCCGGAAAAUACAUACUGCUUCCCCUUGGGUCUGUAGGCCUUGGCACAAGAAGCCACAAUGACAGGAUGCUGGCAACAUCUGACCAACUGCACACUUGACACCAGAGACUCCUUAGUAAACAAGCUGAUUUAUUUAUUUAGGUUUUUGUGUCUUGUGUUGUUUGCUUGUUUGUUUCAAAACAGGGUUUCUCAGUGUACCACUCGCUGUCCUGGAACGUACUUUGUAGGUCAGACUGGCCUCUUAACUCAGAGAUCUGCCUGCCUCUGCCUCCUAAAUGCUGGGAGGAUUAAAGGGGUGUGCCGUCACACCCGGAUUGAUAAGUUAUGUGUUUACUACCAGCUUCUAACUGCGGAAAUUCUCACUGGGUAGCUGAGAACUCAGACGAAGUUGGUAAAAUCCAGCUCUACCAUUAGACCAGAGUAGAUGAUCAUACCCAGGGCUUCCUCCUGAGCCAUAGUUCAGCGUCCUGACCUAAAGAAAGCAGCUCGGAAGGCUGGUGGGUCAUUAACACAGCUCCCUAGCUUGGGGUGGGUCAAGCACUCAGCUCAGCAUGCGUCUCCACCCGCAGCUUCUUCCUGGUUAGUUUCUGCCAGGAGGGAUCAGUGCUAGAGAAAGGCUAGAAGGCAGCAGGAAGAACCUCCCUUUCUCUGGGCUGGCUGCUCCUGGUCAUUCUACCAGUAGGCUGGUCUCUGAAGUGUCCCCAGAAGGAGCUGCAUGUCACCAACUGGGGUGUCUACAAUAGGCAGGCAGCAUCUAUGCUUAGAAAUCUGCGCUCUGCCAGGCUCCCCCUUCCAUGGAACUAGUCAGGAAGAGGGACUUAGCUAGGUGGGUAAGGACUUUUUACCUCUGUUGUAGCACAUAAUAAUUCCGACUACAGCCUUGCUCCCAGCCACUAAAAGUUAAGUGUCCCCCACCACCCUUGAUUCAAUAACUAAUUUCCCACAUUGAACAUGUUCCGUUUGCAUGCAUGUGAGGCCGCUGUUUUCCUAUGGGUAAGCACUAUUAUAAGGGCUUCCUCUCUGUGGAUUCUGGAACCUUCCUUCCCCUUAAGUGGGGGAAAGCACCCAUGAUCUAAGCCUAAAGCACAGAGUGUAGCAAAGGGACUUCAUAUAUGCAGUUGAGGUCUCUAAACAGUUGGGUUUGCAUUCACAAGCCGGAAGAUGACCUGGGAUGGGCCUGAUGGAUCAGAUGAAAAAAUACCCUGUAAAAGAAGAAUCAGGCCCUCCCUGAGGUCAGAGAGACCCUCAACCAUAAAGAACCAGGGAUAAGUGUCUAGAACCUGAGACCUACCUCCAGCUGGCACCAAGCGACACACUAAGAUCAUGCACUCUCAAGAAAACAGAUUUGGUCAACAAGCUUCCUGAGGUGGGCAGAGGAUCCCCUGCAGUGGAACUUCUAGAUGCAAGGAAACAAAUCCCAGUAAUAAUUCUGACAGAAGCCUUGGGAGUCCUGCAUGGAGUACUAAUAAGCCAAGCCAAGGCACUGACAGGAACUGUGGGCCAGUAUGCACUUCCUUUUAAGCUGCUGGACAUGUGGCAAGUUUCUUACACAGCAACAGAAAAUGAAUGCAACCCCUAAAAGGUCUAAUUUGCCCACGAGGCAACUUAACCGUAAUGUUUAAACUAUCCAGGAAACCCCCGGGGAAGCUGACACUGAUGCCCAGCACAGACAGGCUUUUCCUUCUAGAUUAGAGCACACCCGCACCAGCGGAAGCAGGCAGCUUCUCUCAGGGACCACACGGUUCAAAAUUACAUGCAUUUUGAAACAUUAGACUCGCAUUCAUCGUAUCAAGCUAUCACACAAGAAAACUGGUAUUUAUGAAGAAGGAAGCUGGUGUCUCCCUCGCGCCACAGUCCACAGCUCUCACUCAGCGGAAGAGCAAGGAAUAGCCUAUGUAGUUACAGCGUGCUUCUGCGAAAAUAUACAACGGCCUUUACUGAAGUCGGACACUUCAUUAUUCGAGCUCUUGAGUUUGCAUUUUUCUUUUAAAUUAACGAGACAAUUGUGCGAAGCAUUGGAGAAGCUUCUCUUUGUUUUUACUUUAAGAGGCUUAGUUUGUCAAAGAGUGUAGGAACCUGCCCAUCGCCCAUUGAUUUAAAGAAAAGAAAAGCAAGCUCUCGGAAGGAAGCUGUUCAGAUCUGAGUACUUUCUUCCACCCCUUCUGUAAAAGAUGGCAACUGAGGCACUGGAGACCAUCCCGACACUUUCAGCUCACACACGGGAAAAUAACAAUGCCAACGGCCAAAGCAGAAUGCUCGCCACAUGUCAGAAGCACCAGCCCUAUCUCUAGAUGGUAUCCAGACUGAAGAAAGACCUUGUGAUGAUUAUUACCUCCGAUCCUCAAGACUUUCUCAUCCUUAAAAGAUGUGAUGUUGCCCGAUGAUUCAAACUCCUGCUGUCUUACUCCCCAACCAAGAUGGACUGUACUGUGGACUGUGAGGAUGCCUGUGAUUCUGCUCUUCGUCACAUCUGAAUUGCCAGCAUCAUUGCUCUUAUGUUUUGGACCACUGUUCAGGAAGACGAAGCUAAGCACCGUGAUACCCUCAGUUGACCUUUAAACCAGACGGCUGAGUGGCUGACAGGCAUGCAGUGCAUACUGUGUGGAUACCCGGGACAAAGAGGUAAGUCUACCUGGGAAGGAUGAAGCGAGGCAGUGUGAGGUUUCAUCACGCUCCUCGAAGUAUGCAGAUCAAAACAUGAGAGUUAUUUAUUUCAAUGGGUAUUUCCAUUGGACGUUUGACCCCAGAUAAUUGAAACCAUGGGGGAGGGGGCCGGGGGAACCAUUGAUAAUAGAGGCCUGCAAUACAGAGCAGGCUAGCCUAGUCCCAGGACAACUGGGACGAUAAAUACACUUACCACAGAAGUAGGCAGCAAUGCCCAGCACACUUAGAAUACAACAGUCAUCCAGUCCCCAUCAGGUUUUGUGAGACCAAAUACAAGGCUGUGUCAUUCUUGAACAAAAAGCUCCAUUAAUGCAUUUGCUUAAUGAAUUGAGGAAGAAAGAAAGAAAGAAAGAAAGAAAGAAAGAAAGAAGAAAAGAAAAAGGAAGGAAGGACAUGCCUUCUAGGUAUGGUGAGGUAGAAGAAAGUUUAUUGUGAAUAAGGGAGAGAGAAUCGCCAGAGGCAGAAACAUCUGGAAGAGUUCAGUGUAAACAGAUCCUGAACUGAGCCAGGUGAGGAUAAGAGGAAAGAGAGGGGAGAACUAGGAGACCAGGAGGCCAGGAGGCCAAAAAUAGAACCAGCAUAGCCAAAGUGGCUAGACUACAUAGGAAUGGUAGCCCAGCCCCUGGGCUGGAGAAGUGUAGGGUAGGGUGGGUUACACUGGCCACACCCUAUAAUAGGUAGGGACUGAAGGAUUCCAGGAGAACUUGGCAGCUAGAUCCAUUUUGAUAUAUUAAAUAAACACAUGAUUUUUUUUAAUUUUACAGAGAUAAAAAGGUUUAGAAAUGUUAACAUUGCCACUGUUGGUAAUCUGGACUGAAAUCCACACUGUAGAAAGAGCAGUAGACUUGUUAUGCCUUUGAGUCACAGUAAAAGCUUGGGACCCAAAAAUGAUCAGGGUUAAAGGCUUCUGGGAGUUUAUCUCCUGUCCAAGUCUGGGCAAGGUAAACUGCCUUUCUCAGCCCUAGUAGCUCUCAGAAAGCGAGGCGUGAAGCCAGAUUUUUACUACUGAAAAGAAGGCCGCUGUAGCCUCUGGGGAGGAACUGGUGUGCCUGAUGCUGUUAAUGAUAUCAUCAGAGAUCUGAGAAGGAUUCAUAGUAGCAGACAUCAUGCAAAUGGCAUACAUCAAUCGAAAUAAUAACAGACUAACCCACUACCUAGACAGUUGUCCUAGGUUCCCAUGGUCUCCAUGGCUUUCUUAGGGACAGUGGUCAGUCUUCAGCUGCCAGGCCCAGGUCUGAGAGAUUUCCCUAGGAAUAAGGAACUUGGGGGACUGACUUUGACCAGGCACAGUAGGGCAAUCAACCCAAAAGUGUCCACAGUUUGGGCAGAGCCCUGGAGGCAGGUGAGGCAUGGGGCAGCGGUUUUCCCACUGUGGUUAGUGUUACCACCAUUCAGGUAUCCUGCCCCACCAGUCUUCUUUGGAGACCUUAGAAUUGCCUGUAGAGUCUGCCAUGUCUGCCUAUUAUGGAAGCUUUUUUUUAAAAAAAGAU